UGGGGAAUAUUGCACAAUGGGCGCAAGCCUGAUGCAGCCAUGCCGCGUGUAUGAAGAAGGCCUUCGGGUUGUAAAGUACUUUCAGCGAGGAGGAAGGCGUUGUGGUUAAUAACCGCAACGAUUGACGUUACUCGCAGAAGAAGCACCGGCUAACUCCGUGCCAGCAGUCGCGGUAAUACGGAGGGUGCAAGCGUUAAUCGGAAUUACUGGGCGUAAAGCGCACGCAGGCGGUCUGUCAAGUCGGAUGUGAAAUCCCCGGGCUCAACCUGGGAACUGCAUCCGAAACUGGCAGGCUAGAGUCUUGUAGAGGGGGGUAGAAUUCCAGGUGUAGCGGUGAAAUGCGUAGAGAUCUGGAGGAAUACCGGUGGCGAAGGCGGCCCCCUGGACAAAGACUGACGCUCAGGUGCGAAAGCGUGGGGAGCAAACA
rnacentral:rRNA from 1 species